AGUAACACGUAGGUAAUCUGCCCUAAGGAUGGGAACAACCCCGAGAAAUCGGAGCUAAUGCCCAAUACAGUCUCAGCACAGCAUUGUGUCGAGAUCAAAUGCCGCAAGGCGCCUUAGGAUGAACCUGCGUCCCAUUAGGCAGUUGGUAGGGUAACGGCCUACCAAACCUUCGACGGGUAGCUGGUCUGAGAGGACGAUCAGCCACACUGGAACUGAGACACGGUCCAG
rnacentral:rRNA from 1 species